CCUACGGGUGGCAGCAGUGAGGAAUAUUGGUCAAUGAGCGAGAGCCUGAACCAGCCAAGUCGCGUGAGGGAGUCCUGCCCUAUGGGUUGUAAACCUCUUUUGUCGGGGAGCAAAAGCCGGACGUGUCCGGCUGUGAGAUUACCCGAAGAAAAGGCAUCGGCUAACUCCGUGCCAGCAGCCGCGGUAAUACGGAGGAUGCGGGCGUUAUCCGGAUUUAUUGGGUUUAAAGGGUUCGCAGGCGGAUUUUUAAGUCAGCGGUAAAAUCGUGGGGCUCAACCCCAUCCAGCCGUUGAAACUGGGGAUCUAGAGUGUGCGAGAGGUAUGCGGAAUGCGUGGUGUAGCGGUGAAAUGCAUAGAUAGCACGCAGAACCCCGAUUGCGAAGGCAGCAUACCGGUGCACAACUGACGCUCAGGCACGAAAGCGUGGGUAUCGAACAGGAUUAGAUACCCUUGUAGUC
rnacentral:rRNA from 1 species